UACGUAGGGGGCGAGCGUUGUCCGGAAUCAUUGGGCGUAAAGCGCGUGUAGGCGGCCCGGUAAGUCCGCUGUGAAAGUCCAGGGCUCAACCCUGGGAUGCCGGUGGAUACUGUCGGGCUCGAGUCCGGAAGAGGCGAGUGGAAUUCCUGGUGUAGCGGUGAAAUGCGCAGAUAUCGGGAAGAACACCUAUGGCGAAGGCAGCUCUCUGGGACGGUACUGACGCUGAGACGCGAAAGCGUGGGGAGCGAACAGG
rnacentral:rRNA from 1 species